rnacentral:rRNA from 1 species
UACAGAGGAUGCAAGCGUUAUCCGGAAUGAUUGGGCGUAAAGCGUCUGUAGGUGGCUUUUUAAGUCCGCCGUCAAAUCCCAGGGCUCAACUCUGGACAGGCGGUGGAUACUGCAGGGCUAGAGUCCGGAAGAGGCGAGUGGAAUUCCUGGUGUAGCGGUGAAAUGCGCAGAUAUCAGGAGGAACACCGAUGGCGAAGGCAGCUCGCUGGGACGGUACUGACGCUGAGGCGCGAAAGCAUGGGGAUCAAACAGG